rnacentral:tRNA from 1 species
AAGCGCAUAGCUCAGUGGCAGAGCAUUUGAUUGAUAGUCAAGAGGUCAGCAGUUCAAACCUGCUUGCGCUUA